ACGAAAAAAAACCUAAAACAAGUGACUCAAUGGCUUCUCUGAAGUUUAUCCUUGCAGCAAUGCUCAUUGCUAUUUUCUUUCUUGGUGUGAGCAGCAAACAAUUCUGCCCAGGAACAUGCAAAAACUAUCCUAAUUGUAAUGCCUACUGCAAGAAAAUAGGCUAUGAGAUAGGAGAGUGCAUUCCACCUGAGAAUCACUUCUGCUGUUGUGCAAAAGUCGAUGAAAUCAACUAUCAUAACUAAGUGAUUUCUAGGAGAAGCUUGAUUUGUUAUAUUUGCGCUUUUUGGCUCAAUAUAUGAUUAACUAUAAGCUUAAUUUCUCAAUAAUUGCUAGCAACAACAGUUUAUUCUUCUAA